GGGCGGAGUCUAACCAUGCAGUCGAACGGUAACAGGAAACAGCUUGCUGUUUUGCUGACGAGUGGCGGACGGGUGAGUAAUGUCUGGGAAACUGCCUGAUGGAGGGGGAUAACUACUGGAAACGGUAGCUAAUACCGCAUAACGUCGCAAGACCAAAGAGGGGGACCUUCGGGCCUCUUGCCAUCGGAUGUGCCCAGAUGGGAUUAGCUAGUAGGUGGGGUAACGGCUCACCUAGGCGACGAUCCCUAGCUGGUCUGAGAGGAUGACCAGCCACACUGGAACUGAGACACGGUCCAGACUCCUACGGGAGGCAGCAGUGGGGAAUAUUGCACAAUGGGCGCAAGCCUGAUGCAGCCAUGCCGCGUGUAUGAAGAAGGCCUUCGGGUUGUAAAGUACUUUCAGCGGGGAGGAAGGGAGUAAAGUUAAUACCUUUGCUCAUUGACGUUACCCGCAGAAGAAGCACCGGCUAACUCCGUGCCAGCAGCCGCGGUAAUACGGAGGGUGCAAGCGUUAAUCGGAAUUACUGGGCGUAAAGCGCACGCAGGCGGUUUGUUAAGUCAGAUGUGAAAUCCCCGGGCUCAACCUGGGAACUGCAUCUGA
rnacentral:rRNA from 1 species